rnacentral:misc_RNA from 1 species
GCAAACUUGGUCAUUUAGAGGAAGUAAAAGUCGUAACAAGGUUUCCGUAGGUGAACCUGCGGAAGGAUCAUUAUUGAAUAAACUUGAUGGGUUGUAGCUGGCUUCUUGAAGCAUGUGCACGCCCACCAUCUUUAUCUAUCAUCCACCUGUGCACCUUUUGUAGUCUUGUGAAAUGGGAAUGGGGUAGACCCCUCGAUAAGGUGACUAGCCUUUCGGUUGUGAGGAAUGCUACGUGAAAGUUCGCGUGGCUGUCUUCAAAUUACCUAUACUCAUUUCUCGGGCUAUGUCUUUUUCAUACACCAUAUAGUAUGUUGCAGAAUGUAUCAAUUAGGACUCUGUGCCUAUAUAACUCAUACAACUUUCAGCAACGGAUCUCUUGGCUCUCGCAUCGAUGAAGAACGCAGC